rnacentral:rRNA from 1 species
GACGGGGAUAACGGAUGGAAACAUGCGCUAAUACCGGAUGACCUUACGAUGUCAGAAUGGUAAGGAAAGCUACGGCGCUUGAGGAGCGGUCUGCGGCCCAUCAGCUAGUUGGUAGGGUAAAGGCCUACCAAGGCGAAGACGGGUAGGGGGUGUGAGAGCACGGCCCCCCACAAUGGGACUGAGACACGGCCCAUACUCCUACGGGAGGCAGCAGCAGGGAAUAUUGCACAAUGGACGGAAGUCUGAUGCAGCGACGCCGCGUGAGUGAAGAAGGCCUUCGGGUUGUAAAACUCUUUUGAGGGGGAAGAGCGAGGACGGUACCCCUGGAAUAAGCGUCGGCUAACUACGUGCCAGCAGCCGCGGUAAGACGUAGGACGCGAGCGUUAUCCGGAUUUACUGGGCGUAAAGCGUCUGUAGGCGGAUGUGUAAGUUGGGCGUGAAAGCUCCGGGCUUAACCCGGAGAGGCCGUUCAAUACUGCAUAACUUGAGGGUGUCAGAGGGGAGCGGAAUUCCCGGUGUAGCGGUAAAAUGCGCAGAGAUCGGGAGGAACACCAGUGGCGGAGGCGGUUCCCUGGGGCACACCUGACGCUGAGAGACGAAAGCUAGGGGAGCGAACAGGAUUAGAGACCCUGGUAGUCCUAGCCCUAAACGAUGAAUGCUAGGUGUGGGAUCGAAUGGUUCCGUGCCGGAGCGAACGCGAUAAG